AGAACGAACGCUGGCGGCAUGCCUAAUACAUGCAAGUCGAACGAACACUUCGGUGUUAGUGGCGCACGGGUGCGUAACGCGUGGGGAAUCUGCCCUUGGGUUCGGAAUAACAGUUGGAAACGACUGCUAAUACCGGAUGAUAUCGAAAGAUCAAAGAUUUAUCGCCCAGGGAUGAGCCCGCGUAGGAUUAGCUAGUUGGUGAGGUAAAGGCUCACCAAGGCGACGAUCCUUAGCUGGUCUGAGAGGAUGAUCAGCCACACUGGGACUGAGACACGGCCCAGACUCCUACGGGAGCAGCAGUAGGGAAUAUUGGACAAGUGGGACGCAAGCCUGACUCCAGCGAAUGGCCCGACGGUUGGAGUGGAAU
rnacentral:rRNA from 1 species